AUAACAAACUGUAAUUUAAAGUGUCAUGUAAGUCCCUAGUUCAGAUCUAGAGUCCACAUGCCUAACUGUCAGAGCCCCGGAGCGGCCCUAACGAGGCCGGCUGCGCUGACGAGGCAGCGACUUCCAGGUGCCGCGGGGCCGCGCACAGCUGCGCCUCGUCGGGAGCCCCGGGCGGGACCCGCCCCAAAGCCUCCCAAAGCCUCUUAAGCUCCGCCGGAGGCUGCUGGGAGCCACGGGCGAGUUCCUGCGGUUCUUCGUGGGAGACGGAGCGGGCUCCAGCGCUUUGACCGGUCCUAGCGCUGCUGGGGGCUGCUGCGGGUCUACUCGCGGUGAGGUUCAGCCCAAACCGGCUGAGCAAGGACUGCAGCAGAGCCUCUCGUCAGCCCAAGCCGGUGAGCCCGUAGAAGCGGAAAACAGUCUGGCAAGGUGGUGGAGUUGCUCUUCCAGUGAGAGAACAGGAAUGUAUUGCAUUCUGCCUAUGGAUGAAUGAAGAAUUAGUGGUGCGCUUGCAUAUGAGACUCAAGAGGCAGAUGCUAACGAAUGCUGAUCGUGUUGCUGUGCCUCACGUGUUCCCUUUUCACCCUGCUCCUGUCUCUGGGAUCCCUAUGCUCUUCCUUCUAGAAAGCAAAGGAAGUGCUUUAACCACUGAAAUUUGAAAGGAGCAAAUGAGGAACUCAUGGAUGAACUUGAAGGAGAGAGGGAAGAGUGGGCUGAGGAAGGCUAAGGUCCUCUCAGUGUCGCCUUCUGGAGGGAGGUUAAGGCUAACAGAUUUGUUGCUGCUGAGACUGCCCCUUGGGAACCCUGGAUUCUGGAGUAAAGAUGACUUCCUCUUGAUUGUGGAGGAGCUGGUCAAAGGACUGGAGGAUAGCUGAUGUCACUGCAGGCUUCAGAAAGGGUGAGAAGGAUGGCUGGCCUUGUCUCUGGUCCUGGAAAGGUGUUGUAGCAAUGUGUUCAGACAUCAUCUCUGUGAUGGGAAGGGAAGAAACUUCUAAGGAGCGGUCAAGGGUGAGGGCUGGCUGGAGUACAUGGGUGGUUUUGCCAGUGCUUCUAUGGAGCAAGGUGAGUUGUAUCUUUGUGUUUUCUUACCUUUGUGCUGGCCCUGGGUGGUGUGCUUUUCUUACAGGCCUGAAGGUGUGUGAUCUGGUGGAGGAGCAGAGGCAAUAGUUUUGCAGUAGUGCUCCUGGGCUGGAAAGAGGAGGAGGAGGAGGAAGCUUAUUACUUAAGUAAUUACUUAAGUAAAUCCUCUCAGAAACAACUGUUGUUGUGACUGAAGAAGCUGCUUGUUGUGUUGUAAUUUACUGCACCCUGGAGGUUUGGCUGAAUUUCUGCAUGGCUGUCUUUCUUGAAUGUGGUAGAGCUUCCCAACUUUGAAGAUGGGUGUGCAAUCCUGAGAGGAGUGGCAUCAACUGUCUUGCAGUAAUCUUCUGGCUUCCUUUUUCAAGAUGAGUCUGCUGAGAAUUGUCUGGUUUCUGGCUAGAUAACUCAGGAGCGUGCAUCUCAGUGAAACCAUUUGUGGUGUUGAAUCUCAAUGAGUUGCUGGGAACCUUCCUCCCAAACUGAGACAGAACUCCAGCUAAAAUGACAGUAAUGUGUUCUACUUUGUCUUUUUAACAAAAGAGAAGGAACUUCAUUAGGGUUGUGCCUUUGCAUUAAGUGUUUGCAUGUGGUAUAUUGUAUCUUUAUGUGAGAGUUUGCAGUUAACUUUGCUUUUAAUUAAUGAUCCAGUUCUCCUGUGAUUGGAGUGCAACAGCUAGAUAAUGCAGGAUAGAAAAUGCAGCAAUUUACUCAGAUAUGAUACUACUCUCUGCACAACUUAAACAGCAUCUCAGUGAGUUAUUAGGCUGACUCAUUAGUGCAAGCAGAUAUCUGCAGGCAAUAAACCUGUUGCUCCUGGUGAUAACAGGAUAUAGCUGCUUUUUUCCAGAGGAUUGUCUAAAAGUGUAUAUUAGUGAGAUGAAAGGAAAAGCUUAACAAAUACACAAGAUCAAUGAAAUGUCUUUUGUGUGCAGAAUAAGAAUGCAGCUGAGGGUGGAAGGGACCUGCAACUUGUAGCUGUGCAAGAGCCCACCUGAACUUCAAAUACUAUCUCCAAAAGUGGUGUCCAAAUGCUUCUCCAAGUCCAUCAGCCUGGGCCUGUGACUGCUGUCCUGUAGAGCUUGUUCUGGUACUCCGCUACCUUCUGUUGAAGGAACUUGACAUAAUUUCCACUGUGGCUUAGUACACAUCCAAGUCCCUUGCCCUGGUCAGCUGUAGAAAAACUGAAGAGAACUUGCCCUGAAAUGAAGCCCUGUGGACUCGAGACUUCCACUAGAAAGGGCUUUUCCUGACAUGAGAUAUGAUUUUUGGACCUCCUUUCCUGACAAGGAUUUCUCUUACCUACUCAAAUGGAUGAUACAAGCUUUGAGCUAGACGAGAAGACAUCUUGCUUUUGCAAUCCACACUUUCUCUUAAGCAGUGGGAUGUCAUGGAAUGCACAAGAACAGCUUAAAUGCAACAGAAGAUAGAACAAUUACUGAAUCAGCCUGCCUUAAUUGAAGUUGAUGAUGCAACCCUCUAAUAGUGGAAUGUAGUCUUCAGUUAGUGGUAAAUUUAUAGCUAAGAGUAAAGAUUUUUCUCUCCCCAAAUUUAAAAAUAUCUAACUGCUAUGAUCCCAGUCGUUUCACUGUUCAUGUUUUAUGCCUCGUAACAGUAUGAGUGCGUUUUCUACCAUUAGUAGCCUGAAUGGCUGAGCAAGAAGUACCACUUGCAGUAAUAAAGCCUAAAACAGCCUAAAAACCCUUCCAUUGGUUGAUAAUGUAGUUCUUGGGGGGAUGCACAUUCAGGAGAGAGCUUCCAACAUGUAUAAGUCUUCAUACCAUAUCUUUCCUUAAAAACAACAGUAUGAACUCCUUACUGUUGCUUUAGCUGGGGGCCUGGGCUGCACAAGUGUGUUCCUCCACCAGGGAGGGGAAGAAAGGAGUUUUGUCAUUUAAAAGAAAAUCAUAAAUAAAAGCCCUAAUCCUUAAUUCACAUGAGCAUUUGACCAUGAGCAGUUCCAAAAAUCUGACCUUUGUUUUUUCAUUGUUUAUAUUGAACACUGAUCCCUAGUUGCUUAGCGCAGGAGGAAGCUCUAGCCUUCACCCAUUUCUA